UACGUAGGGUGCAAGCGUUAAUCGGAAUUACUGGGCGUAAAGUGUGCGCAGGCGGCCGCGCAAGUCGAGUGUGAAAUCCCCGAGCUUAACUUGGGAAUUGCGCUCGAAACUACGUGGCUGGAGUGUGGCAGAGGAAGGUGGAAUUCCACGUGUAGCGGUGAAAUGCGUAGAUAUCAGGAGGAACACCUAUUGCGAAGGCAGCUCGCUGGGACGUUACUGACGCUGAGACGCGAAAGCGUGGGGAGCAAACAGG
rnacentral:rRNA from 1 species